UCCGUCGUACUACUGCGGCUCCCUCCGGGGGCUUGCCACCGGCCCAGCGCCGCCUCCCGGGAGGGGGCGGAAGUGACGUGACAGACACGUCAGACUGCGCGACGCGGUCGCAGGGCAAAACACGCAACGCGCGGGGCGGUCAGCCUUUGCUCUCGGGAGAAGCUCGGCGCGACGCGGAGGCGGGCCGGAGCAACUGCGCCUGCGCAGGACUUACCCCUUCGGGGGAGGCGGGGGCGACCUCCGCGCCUGCGCGCUGGCAGUCGUUUCUGAAAGUGGGAGUGAUGGAUGCGGCUUCGGGGCAUCAGGGAAAGAUAAACCGACCUGGGUUCCAGAUCUAAGAGGGGAAAAGCAGUCUGACUUGACAGUUGACUCAAGGAAAGGUAUGCGUGCUUCGAGAACAUUCUUGGGCGGCGCAUGGGUGUCGGCGCAGGACGUCAAGCCUGUGGCCCGCAGGCCCCUUCGCAAGAAGUGUGGAUGGUUUGAAAACCCUGAAGCCCUGAAAUUCUUCCCCAAGUUCCAAGGAGGAGCUCCUUUUGCCACCGGUGUACCUCUUUGAUAGCUAAACGGGUGACCUGGUGAUCGAUUUGCACUUGUAGUAGCAAAAGGGCUAUUUUACAUUAGGAAUAAAAUGCAAUCAAGUCAAAGCUA